rnacentral:rRNA from 1 species
AUCGGGGUUGCGGACAGUGUCUGGUGGGUAGUUUGACUGGGGCGGUCUCCUCCCAAAGAGUAACGGAGGAGCACGAAGGUUAGCUAAUCCUGGUCGGACAUCAGGAGGUUAGUGCAAUGGCAUAAGCUAGCUUGACUGCGAGCGUGACGGCGCGAGCAGGUGCGAAAGCAGGUCAUAGUGAUCCGGUGGUUCUGAAUGGAAGGGCCAUCGCUCAACGGAUAAAAGGUACUCCGGGGAUAACAGGCUGAUACCGCCCAAGAGUUCAUAUCGACGGCGGUGUUUGGCACCUCGAUGUCGGCUCAUCACAUCCUGGGGCUGAAGUAGGUCCCAAGGGUAUGGCUGUUCGCCAUUUAAAGUGGUACGCGAGCUGGGUUUAGAACGUCGUGAGACAGUUCGGUCCCUAUCUGCCGUGGGCGCUGGAGAAUUGAGGGGGGCUGCUCCUAGUACGAGAGGACCGGAGUGGACGCAUCACUGGUGUUCGGGUUGUCAUGCCAAUGGCAUUGCCCGGUAGCUAAAUGCGGAAGAGAUAAGUGCUGAAAGCAUCUAAGCACGAAACUUGCCCCGAGAUGAGUUCUCCCUGAGACUUUAAGUCUCCUGAAGGAACGUUAAAG